rnacentral:rRNA from 1 species
GAUGAACGCUGGCGGCGUGCCUAAUACAUGCAAGUCGAGCGAACAGACGAGGAGCUUGCUCCUCUGACGUUAGCGGCGGACGGGUGAGUAACACGUGGAUAACCUCCCUAUAAGACUGGGAUAACUUCGGGAAACCGGAGCUAAUACCGGAUAAUAUAUUGAACCGCAUGGUUCAAUAGUGAAAGACGGUUUUGCUGUCACUUAUAGAUGGAUCCGCGCCGCAUUAGCUAGUUGGUAAGGUAACGGCUUACCAAGGCAACGAUGCGUAGCCGACCUGAGAGGGUGAUCGGCCACACUGGAACUGAGACACGGUCCAGACUCCUGCGGGAGGCAGCAGUAGGGAAUCUUCCGCAAUGGGCGAAAGCUUGACGGAGCAACGCCGCGUGAGUGAUGAAGGUCUUCGGAUCGUAAAACUCUGUUAUUAGGGAAGAACAAAUGUGUAAGUAACUAUGCACGUCUUGACGGUACCUAAUCAGAAAGCCACGGCUAACUACGUG